UUUAAGUGUCAACAAUAUUAAGUAAAGUGAAAUUACUUUCUUGUUUUUUUAAGUCCAAAAUUUUACUAACCCUUAGAAUGCUUCACGCGAACCCCUGCAACCGAAACCCUCGCGAUCCCCAUGCCAUACUUUACCUUGUCGUCGAAAUCAUUGUGAUGUCUAUGUCGAACUUCACCCUACCGCUGAUUGGCUCAAGACCUCCACCACACGGUCGAUUCCCUUCAUCUGAUUAAGAUUUGUUUCUAACCUAUCUAUCUUCCUUCCCCAAUUUCACCGUUUUUCAUUUUAGUGCUUUAUUCUUCCUUUUCCCUUUCCUUCUUCUUCUUCCCUUUCUUCUUUUCCUCAUUUCCCUCCAAUUUUAGAGUUCUGAUUUCUGAUUCCUUGCAGUGAAGCUUCUUCUUCUUCCAUUUUCCAUUUUAUUCCUUUUUGAAUUGAAGCCCCAUGACUUCCUUUACUUCCGUCAAGAAGAACUUCUUGCCUCUGCGCCUUAUUUCCAAUAUUGAAGAUGUUCUUCCCAGGAGGAAGGGCACUGGCGAAGAAUCCAAAGAUGUUAGAUCCCUACUUGAAAACUUAAGGGAAGUCUGCUGAGAGUUCUAGUAAGGGUCAAAAUUCCACCUAGAAGCCAUCAACUGUGGACAAAAACAAAGAAGCCAAUGUAGGUUUCUAAAGAGAAGGUGGUUGAGAGAAGCCCACAUCCAGUUGGAAUACCGAGUAGUCUCGGGACGAUGGCAAUAGUGAAGGAGGAGGAGCUUCGGGUGAAUCCAGUUCUGCCAAUGAUUGGAUGUCUUCAUUUGGUUGGGAUCGUUGAUUGAAUGGUAAUAUCUCAAACGUUUCGUAGACAAUGCAAAGGGAGUUUGGCUAUUAACAAGAUUGUUUCUUGUUAGAACAUUUAUGAAUUAUUGUACUUCUUUGUUAAUUUCUUUAUAACAUGUUGAAUAUUUUGGGUGAUGCCAAAAAAAAAUUCUCUAAAAGCCUACACUUAUCUUCGUUUUAAAUUAUCUUUCAGCCUUUUUUUGCCUCCUUCCAUUGUGCUGCUAUGAGAGAAACCACUAUGCUUUUGAGAUCCACUAUAAGAAAUUUGGGCUUUAAUGUCGGUUGGAAAAAGUAAAACCAAAUGUAUAAUGUCGAUUUUUUAAAAAAAUAAAAAACGAAUCUUUAAUGUCGGUUUUAAACGACAUUAAAGGUCUAAAUUUAUUUUUUUCUUACUUUAUUAAAAAAUAUAUCUUUCAUUUUAACCAAACCUUCUCUCUCCUUUCACCCUCUCUUAUCAAACCCUCUCUUCUCCUUGGCCGUUCGAAUCCCCAAAGUUUUCGUUGUUCCGAUCGUUAUCGUCACCAGCGUUGUUAGGGUCUCUGUCGUCGUCGGUGGUUGGUCUCUGUCAUCCUAUCGUUGUUGUGGGCGUUGUUCGAUUGUUUCCAUGGGCAUUGUCGUGGGUCUCUGUCGUCUUCAACAACGUUGUCCAGUCGUUGUCAUGGUCUCUAUCACGGACAUUGGUUGGAUUUGUAGAUUUGGGUCACCGGUGUUGGUGGGUCGUCAUCGGCGUAGUGGAGUUUCGCCGUUCGUAGAUUCCGUCAGUGGUGGAGUUCUUUCUUCUCCUUGGAUCUGUAGAUUCCCUUUGAAAAUAAGGUCUCACCAUUUCCGGAACUUUUAGAUUCUGCCUUGAAUUCCAGCUAUUUACAUCUGAUGGUUGCACUUACUGCAUCAGUGGAGAUAUUAUCCCUUCCAUACUUAAGUGCCAUUUUUACAUCUUUAUAAGUAUUUGGUAAUUAAUUAAGAAGAAUGGUUGCUUCACUUUCUUUGCCUAGUUUCUCCUCUGUUUGAUUUAUUUCUGAUGUUAGUCUUCUACAGUCAUUUAGGUUCUCAUCCAUUGUUUUACAGUAUUCAUCUUGAAUGAGAACAACCUUUCCUUCAAGAAAAUUUUAUUUGACACAUCCUUUUUCUCAUAUAAAGCUUCUAAUUUAUUCAAAACUUCAUAUGUUCUGUAUUCAUCAAUUACUUGCCUUAGUAUGUUGUCAGUUACAUUCAAUAACAGAGUUUUUCUAUAGGCUACUUCUUCAAUAUUCCGUUUCUCUACUUGAGUUAGGGUUGUAGGCAAUGUCUUAGGAUCUUCUAAUCCUUUUAAGGUCUUUUGAUAUGUCAAUAUCAUCUUAAUCUUCUUUGACCACAAAUUAAAAUCAUUAUUUUCAGUGAACUUUUCAAUUGCGUACUUCUCUACUGCCAUUGAUAAGUUCUUUUCCAAGUUUUGAUACCAAAUUGUAAAGAGAAAACGACUACACAUGUCUCACUGUAAAAGGUAAUACAACAAUUGAAUAUGAUUAUCUUUCUUCUUUACUCUUCUGAUCAACAUGCAAAUUCUCUCUAAAAUUCUCUGAUCUUUAUAUUCACUCACAACAAAUCAAUGGAGACAAAAUUUGAGUAAAGAACUAGAUGAAGAUUAAGGAAAGUAGAAGAGAAACACUUGAUUUAUAGUGGUUCGGCUUAUUUAUUUCUACAUUCACUCCAGAGAACAACCAUUGACAUCUUUAUUCAAGAUCAAAAUCAAGAAGCAGACAUUACAAAGCACAAUCAGGUUUGAUUCUUCACAAAGACUUCUUCUCCAUCUUAUAGCCCUAAUUACAAAGCUCAAAUCUUUUGCAUUGAUUUAAACAGUCAAUAGGUUCAUUACAGAAGAAGUACUCAAUAGGUUCCUUUGAAUUACUAAGCAAAACAGUUCCCAUACAAAUCUCUACUGAAAUACAACUACACUUUUGGUGCAUUCUGUUUCAUAUUACUGUCAUGCUCCCUAGCUGUGUUCUGCAACAUCAGUCAAUAUCUGUGUAUCGGUCGUAUCAUUCCAGGUUUUAGGCCAUAUGAAGACGGUAUGCGUGCUGAUGUUGGGGUGCCUGCUCUUUGAUUCAGAGAUGACAUUGAAGAACAUAUCAGGGAUGGUUCUUGUUGGGAUGGUGGUGUAUAGUUGGGUAGUUGAAAUUGAGAAAAAAGCAUCAUUCUAAUAUUCGAUUUAAAUUAUUUGAUCAUUCGAUAAGCAUCACUACAAGAAUUUUGCCUUGAAUGUACCAUUUAUGCACAUUCCCAAUAAACACGGUUAGUUGAAUAUGAAUUCUGAUAACAUUUUCACUUUCAAUCCUUUGUCUUAAACCUUUUUUGUUUGUGUUUUUUAGGUGUUUGGAAUGGGUGGGAAGGAGAUGGAUUUCUUGCAACAGUAAGGGAUUCAGGUGAAAAUUUUUCCUGGGUGAGCAUGUGCGUGCUUUAGGAGGUGCUAUAGCAUCAGCUUAUCUUCUUGGAGUUCCUCUAGGACAUAAUUCAUCAUUUCUUCAAGGUCCAACAUUUGCACCUCCUCGGAUCAGGGAGGCCAUCUGGUAUAGGAGCACAAAUCCAACUACAAAAGAAGAUGCAACAAAGGAGUAAAUAUUUGGUAUCGCAACCUUUUUAUGCUUUUUCUUAGGGAACUUUAGAUCCAACACAUUCAUUACAAGAAUUUUCCCUUAAAUGUACCAUUUAUGCACAUUCCCAAUAAACACGGUUAGCUGAAUAUGAAUUCUUAUCACAUUUUCACUUUCAAUCUUUUGUUUUAAACCUUUUUUGUUUGUGAUCCUUUGAACAACAGUAGUCAGACAAAAAUGCCUAUAACCAAACACUGCUAAAGCUAGGGGGUUGGUUCAAGAAGAAUUAUGAAGGGAUCCAUACUUACCAAGUGGAGAGAGACAAUAAUCUCAUAAUGUUUGUAAAAUCAUAAUGUUUGUAUUACUUGUAAUUUGUGUUUUCAAGGCCUGAAUUAUUG